AGCUUAAGUAUCCAUCUGCACUGAAAUGUUUUAGUCAAAUUGUGAAGCAAGCAGAGAACAAGAGAAUAGCAAUUUUUCUUGACUAUGAUGGGACUCUCUCUCCCAUUGUAGACGACCCUGACCGUGCAGUUAUGUCUAAUUCGAUGCGUUCUGCUGUGAAAAAUGUUGCAAAGUAUUUUCCCACUGCAAUCAUAACUGGAGGGAGCCGUGACAAGGUUUUUGAAUUAAUAGGACUAACAGAGCUCUAUUAUGCUGGUAGCCAUGGAAUGGACAUUAUGGGCCCUAACUGUGUCAAAUCCAAUGAUA